rnacentral:rRNA from 1 species
CCUACGGGGGGCAGCAGUGAGGCAUAUUGGUCAAUGGCCGAGAGUCUGAACCAGCCAAGUAGCGUGAAGGAUGACUGCCCUAUGGGUUGUAAACUUCUUUUAUAUGGGAAUAAAAUGUUCCACGUGUGGGAUUUUGUAUGUACCAUAUGAAUAAGGCUCGGCUAACUCCGUGCCAGCAGCCGCGGUAAUACGGAGGAUCCGAGCGUUAUCCGGAUUUAUUGGGUUUAACGGGAGCGUAGGUGGAUUGUUAAGUCAGUUGUGAAAGUUUGCGGCUCAACCGUAAAAUUGCAGUUGAAACUGGCAGUCUUGAGUGCAGUAGAGGUGGGCGGAAUGCGUGGUGUAGCGGUGAAAUGCUUAGAUAUCACGAAGAACUCCGAUUGCGAAGGCAGUUCACUGGACUGCAACUGACACUGAGGCUCGAAAGUGUGGGUAUCAAACAGGAUUAGAUACCCGUGUAGUC